GGUCACAGUGGGGGGCGUGGCCACCCAGGACCUGUCUAAGGCUCCAGGCUGUCCCUCCUUCCUCCCAGCCUUCAGAACUCAAGAACCACCGAAGCCCCUCAUACAAGGCUCACAAGUAACAACCCGGUUCCUGAAUACAUGAUGGCAGAACCUGGAGUUCUCCACUCUUGCCCCUGCCUGCUUCCAGAAUUAGGACUGAGAUAGGUACACGCUGGCCCUAAAAACAGUUUCCGGAUCAUUUCUCCCAGGCCAGCCUCUGCAGCUUUCUGUAUCUCUGCAGUGGCCCCUGUGGGCUGGCAAGUGUCUCACUGCGCGCAUUAUCCACGGGAUACGUCCUCGUGGGACGUAUCCUGACCUUAAAUAACUAAUAACCCUGACCUUAAAUAACUAAUCUUCCCAUGAGGCCGUGUUGGGGCAGAGAAGGGUUUGAGACCAUGCUGUCCAUCCCUCUGUGAGUGGGUAAGCUACACAGACAAGGAGGCCCAAUCAGUAUGUUCAAGUUUGGGUUCAAAGGACUCCUCUGAUGGCCCCUGUGUGCUGGGAAAAUUUGUGGAGAGAAACCAGGGCCAGCCCCCAACCCUCCACCAAGGAAUGGCAAAGGCAGACCCAAGGUGAGCCAUCUCAUGGAGACUUGGUGGACAGGAUGUUCCUAGGCUGUUCCCACAGGACCUUUAAACAGGUGCUUACUUGCGUUCAGAGCAACUGCUAAAGCAGCUUGCUGACCAGGCAAAGUUUUUAAAGGAGUCAACAAAUACCCUACCUUCACCUCCUCCUAGCCAGUCCCCACGCACCAUCUCACUUCAGCCCUCAGUGCCUCCUCUCCCUGGACCACGGCAUCAGGAUCACAGCACCAGAGUCUCGGUCCCCCACCCCACUCUGAAUCAUCCGGCACAUGCCAUGGGAGAGGUCUUCCUCUAGCUCAGCCAUGAGCAUGCUACUCUCCCACUAACACGCAGCAGAUCCCAGUUGCUACGGGACCAAAAAUAGUCCGAACUAAGGCCCCUUCUAGCCUCCUCGUGCUGUGAUUCCUCAGGACGACACGCACGGCCCUGUGACUUGGCCCCACGUUACUUUUCCAGCCUAACGUCUUCCUCUGUGUCAGUCAUUCACGUCAUCAUUUAGCGAGAACUUUCUGGGCACCAGGCGCUGUGCAAAGCUCUUGAAACAAAUCACCGGAUGUAGCAGCAUCAGCCCCGGGUCGCAGGCACUAUCACUGAUUUUGCCAAUGAGAACACCAUGCUGCCCUUCCCCAAACACACACUGCACCUUCCCACCACUGAAGUUUUGCCCAUGCUGUUCCCGUCCCCGGUCUGCUCUUCCCUGCAUGCCUCCAGCUACUGAAAUACCACACGAUCAUCCAUGCCAGGCUCGGGUGCCCUCCCCUCUAGGGGUCUUCACCUGCCCCGCCAUUGCUUCGAGCUUGUUCUUCUCCGACCUUCGUCCCUCUGUAGCACUCACCGUGCUCUCAGAGGAGGUUACCUGUGUAGAUGGCUUUCUUCCUACCCAGAAUGUACAGGUAUUAAGGAUCAGGACCGUCGUUUUGCACCUGUGUAAUGCUCACUGUGCCUGGGCCAGCGAUUCGAAAUGCAGCCUUCACCUCACUCACCCAUGUGAAUGGCUAAACAGGAAGUCCCCAGGCUGCCCCGGCCACAGACAGGGCACAAAGUUGCUACACAAGCAUCUCAUGGCAUCUGGCAUCCAUAUCACUUCUCACCGUAUGUCCACAAAUUCUUGGACACUCCUCCUUUAGGGGUCCCUAAUUCCCCUUCCCUUGAAUGUGAUUGGACUUAGUGACUCACUUUCAACACAGAGUAUGGUGGAAGUGUCGGUAUGUAGCUUCUGAGACCGUUGCGGGCAUUGCAGCCCCUGGCUUGUUUGCUUGUGGAACCUUCACACUGAGGACAGAAAGCUGCCCUGACCUGGGGAUACUCAAUCAACCCUUAUGGAGAGGCCUGCGUGGCUGGGAACUGAGGCCUCCUGCUAAAAGCCUUGCAAGUGAACCACCUUAGAAGUGGAUCCUCAGCCUCAGGCAAGGAUGACAUCAGAUGACAUAGGGAGAGACCACCGGCUAAGCCAUUCCUGGAUUUCUGACCCUCCGAAGCUGUGGGAGAUAAUAAACAUUUGUUGGCCUGA